AGAUAGUGUAGGAAAUGAAGAGA
rnacentral:miRNA from 1 species